rnacentral:rRNA from 1 species
GACGAACGCUGGCGGCGUGCUUAGCACAUGCAAGUCGAACGGUAAGGCCCCUUCGGGGGUCCACGAGUGGCGAACGGGUGAGUAACACGUGAGCAACCUGCCCUUGACUCUGGAAUAACAGUUGGAAACAGCUGCUAAUACUGGAUAUUCAUCGUCUCCUUCCUGGGGGGUGGUGGAAAGCUCCGGCGGUCAGGGAUGGGCUCGCGGCCUAUCAGCUUGUUGGUGAGGUAAUGGCUCACCAAGGCUUCGACGGGUAGCCGGCCUGAGAGGGCGACCGGCCACACUGGGACUGAGAUACGGCCCAGACUCCUACGGGAGGCAGCAGUGGGGAAUAUUGCACAAUGGGCGCAAGCCUGAUGCAGCAACGCCGCGUGCGGGAUGACGGCCUUCGGGUUGUAAACCGCUUUCAGUAGGGACGAAGGGUGACUGACGGUACCUACAGAAGAAGGACCGGCUAACUACGUG